rnacentral:rRNA from 1 species
AUGGCCCCCGCGGCGGCGCGGGUCCUCGUCCUCGUCCUCGCCGUCGCCGUCGCCUCCUCCCUCGCGGGGCGCGCGGACGCCCUCCGGUCGCUGGGCGUCGGCGACGGGGCGGGGGCCGGGGCCGCCGCGCAGGGGGACUACGCCGUGGACCUCAACGCCACCAGCUUCGACGCCUUCCUCACGGCCUCGCGGGAGCAGUUCGCCGUCGUCGAGUUCUUCGCCCACUGGUGUCCAGCUUGCAGAAACUACAAGCCCCAUUAUGAGAAGGUUGCGAAACUUUUCAAUGGUCCAAAUGCUGCACAUCCUGGGAGAAUUCUGAUGGCUAGGGUUGAUUGUGCAUCAAAGGUGAAUGUAGAUCUUUGCAGUAGAUUUUCUGUUGACCAUUAUCCUUUCCUACUUUGGGGACCCCCACCAAAAUUUGCUAACACUAAGUGGGACCGGAAGCAAGAGAAAAGCGACAUAAAAUUGAUUGAUGAUGGAAGAACAGCAGAGCGUUUACUUAUGUGGAUAAAUAAGCAACUGGAAAGCUCGUUCACUUUGGAUGACAAAAAAUAUGAGAAUGAAAGUAUGCUUCCAAACAGUACUUCAGAUCCUAAACAGGUUGUUCAAGCAAUUUAUGAUGUUGAGGAAGCAACAGCUCAUGCGUUACAGAUAAUUUUGGAGCACAAGAUGAUCAAAGCAGACACUCGUGACUCUCUUAUAAGGUUUUUACAAAUUUUGGUGGCUCAUCAUCCAUCCAAGAGGUGUCGAAGAGGAUCUGCUGAGCUACUUAUUAACUUUGAUGAUCACUGGCCUUCAAACCUCUCUUUAAGCUCACAAGACAGUUCUAAAUUGUUGGAAAGUGUUGCAGCAGAUAACCACAAGAUCUGUGGAAAGGAGGUGCCUCGCGGUUACUGGAUUUUCUGCCGUGGAAGUAAAAGUGAAACAAGAGGAUUUAGCUGUGGUCUAUGGGUUUUGCUGCAUUCACUUACUGUCCAAAUUGGGGAUGGAGAAAGCCAAUCAACCUUUACAUCAAUAUGUGAUUUCAUACACAAUUUCUUCAUCUGUGAGGAAUGCCGCAAACACUUCUAUGAUAUGUGCUCAAGUGUGUCAGUUCCCUUCAAGUCAGCCCGUGAUCUCAGCCUCUGGCUAUGGAGCACGCAUAACAAAGUUAAUGAGAGGUUGAUGAAAGAAGAAAAGGAUAUGGGAACUGGCGAUCCAUCAUUUCCUAAGGCUAUCUGGCCUCCAAAGGCACUCUGCCCAUCUUGCUAUCGUUCUUCAAGCAGGACGAGUGAUGGAGCCUUGCAGGUUGACUGGAAUGAGGAUGAAGUAUUUCCAUUCUUGGUUAACUACUAUGGGAAGACGCUUGUAUCAUCCUAUAAAGAAACCUACAUGGAGUCUCUUCAAGGGAGGACGCAAGUAGGGGCGGCACUUGCUGACGAUGCCUCCUCCUCACAUGCUGCAAGAGUCCCAAUUGGAGCUGCCCUAGGUGUUGCAGCUGCCAGCUGUACAUUUGGGGCACUAGCUUGCUUCUGGAGAACCCAGCAGAAGAACAGAAAGCAAAGAAAGAACUGGAACUGA